rnacentral:rRNA from 1 species
UACAGAGGGGGCAAGCGUUGUUCGGAAUUAUUGGGCGUAAAGAGCUCGUAGGCGGCUUGUCACGUCGAUUGUGAAAGCCCGAGGCUUAACCUCGGGUCUGCAGUCGAUACGGGCUAGCUAGAGUGUGGUAGGGGAGAUCGGAAUUCCUGGUGUAGCGGUGGAAUGCGCAGAUAUCAGGAGGAACACCGGUGGCGAAGGCGGGUCUCUGGGCAGUAACUGACGCUGAGGAGCGAAAGCGUGGGGAGCGAACAGG